rnacentral:rRNA from 1 species
GGGAGGUAGUGACAAUAAAUAACAAUACGGGGUUCUUUAGGAUCUCGUAAUUGGAAUGAGUACAAUUUAAAUCUCUUAACGAGGAACAAUUGGAGGGCAAGUCUGGUGCCAGCAGCCGCGGUAAUUCCAGCUCCAAUAGCGUAUAUUAAAGUUGUUGCAGUUAAAAAGCUCGUAGUUGAAUUUCGGGAUCAGCAGGUUGGUCUUGCCACUGGUAUGUACUAGCUUGCUGAUUCCUCCUUCUUGUAGAACCGUAAUGCCAUUAAUUUGGUGUUGCAGGAAAUCAGGACUGUUACUUUGAAAAAAUUAGAGUGUUUAAAGCAGGCUAAGGCUUGAAUACAUUAGCAUGGAAUAAUGAAAUAGGACGUUUGAUCCUAUUUUGUUGGUUUCUAGGAUUGACGUAAUGAUUAAUAGGGAUAGUUGGG